UGCCCCAUGGCUGAGUUGGUUACAGCGUCCGACUGUUAUCCAAAGUGCUCAAACAUGGCAAUCGGAAGGUCGUGAGUUCGAGCCUCACUGGGGCAG